rnacentral:rRNA from 1 species
GAUGAACGCUGGCGGCGUGCCUAAUACAUGCAAGUAGAACGCUGAAGCUUGGUGCUUGCACCGAGCGGAUGAGUUGCGAACGGGUGAGUAACGCGUAGGUAACCUGCCUCUUAGCGGGGGAUAACUAUUGGAAACGAUAGCUAAUACCGCAUAAAAGUCGAUAUCGCAUGAUAUUGAUUUGAAAGGUGCAAAUGCAUCACUAAGAGAUGGACCUGCGUUGUAUUAGCUAGUUGGUGAGGUAACGGCGCACCAAGGCGACGAAACAUAGCCGAACUGAGAGGGUGAUCGGCCAGACUGAGACGGAGACACGGCCCAGACGCCUACGGGAGGCAGCAGUAGGGAAUCUUCGGCAAUGGGGGCAACCCUGACCGAGAAACGCCGCGUGAGUGAAGAAGGUUGUCGGAUCGUAAAGCUCUGUUGUAAGAGAAGAACGAGUGUGAGAGUGGAAAGUUCACACUGUGACGGUAACUUACCAGAAAGGGACGGCUAACUACGUG